GUGGUUUUAGCAGCAACAAGAUAAUGCUGUAAAAAAAAAAAAAACACACUCCAGAGGUAAUAUGAUAAAAUGUAUCUGGGGAACACAGAGACCUAGUUGGGCAGCAAGAAAUCAUGUGCAGAUAUUCUUUAAAGACAGAGGUCCCCUUUCCUGUUUUCAUUCAUUUGCUAGAGAGUCAGCAUUCUGGACUUACAACACCCCCUCCC